rnacentral:rRNA from 1 species
AAGAUAAGAUUUCCCUAGGAAUUUAUUCCUCUAAAGAGCCGUUCGAGACUAGGACGUUGAUAGGUUGGGUGUGGAAGCACGGUGACGUGUGAAGCUGACCAAUACUAAUUGCUCGUGAGGCUUGACUAUACAACACCCAAACAGUUG